CCACCCCAGGUCAGGCGGGACAACCCACUGAAUUUAAGCAUAUCAAUAAGCGGAGGA
rnacentral:rRNA from 1 species